rnacentral:tRNA from 1 species
UCCAGGGUAGCCUAGUGGACAUGGAAUCUGCACGGUAAGCGGAACACUGUGGGUUCGAUUCCCAUCCCUGGAC